rnacentral:tRNA from 1 species
AGAAUAGAUUAGAUUUAGAGGUAAGCUGCUAACUUAUUAUCUUAGCGGUUUGAUUCCGUUAAUAUUCUU